UACGUAGGGGGCAAGCGUUGUCCGGAAUCAUUGGGCGUAAAGAGCGUGUAGGCGGUCCGGUAAGUCGGCUGUGAAAGUCCAGGGCUCAACCCUGGGAUGCCGGUCGAUACUGCCGGACUAGAGUUCGGAAGAGGCAAGUGGAAUUCCCGGUGUAGCGGUGAAAUGCGCAGAUAUCGGGAGGAACACCAAUGGCGAAGGCAGCUUGCUGGGACGGUACUGACGCUGAGACGCGAAAGCGUGGGGAGCAAACAGG
rnacentral:rRNA from 1 species